AGUGAACGCUGGCGGUAGGCCUAACACAUGCAAGUCGAACGGCAGCACAGUAAGAGCUUGCUCUUACGGGUGGCGAGUGGCGGACGGGUGAGGAAUACAUCGGAAUCUACUUUUUCGUGGGGGAUAACGUAGGGAAACUUACGCUAAUACCGCAUACGACCUACGGGUGAAAGCAGGGGAUCUUCGGACCUUGCGCGAUUGAAUGAGCCGAUGUCGGAUUAGCUAGUUGGCGGGGUAAAGGCCCACCAAGGCGACGAUCCGUAGCUGGUCUGAGAGGAUGAUCAGACACACUGGAACUGAGACACGGUCCAGACUCCUACGGGAGGCAGCAGUGGGGAAUAUUGGACAAUGGGCGAAAGCCUGAUCCAGCCAUACCGCGUGGGUGAAGAAGGACUUCGGGUUGUAAAGCCCUUUUGUUGGGAAAGAAAAGCAGCAGGUUAACACCCCGCUGUUCUGACGGUACCCAAAGAAUAAGCACCGGCUAACUUCGUG
rnacentral:rRNA from 1 species